rnacentral:rRNA from 3 species
GCAUAUCAAUAAGCGGAGGAAAAGAAACUAACAAGGAUUCCCCUAGUAGCGGCGAGCGAAGCGGGAAGAGCUCAAAUUUAUAAUCUGGCACCUUCGGUGUCCGAGUUGUAAUCUCUAGAAAUGUUUUCCGCGUUGGACCGCACACAAGUCUGUUGGAAUACAGCGGCAUAGUGGUGAGACCCCCGUAUAUGGUGCGGACGCCCAGCGCUUUGUGAUACAUUUUCGAAGAGUCGAGUUGUUUGGGAAUGCAGCUCAAAUUGGGUGGUAAAUUCCAUCUAAAGCUAAAUAUUGGCGAGAGACCGAUAGCGAACAAGUACCGUGAGGGAAAGAUGAAAAGCACUUUGGAAAGAGAGUUAACAGUACGUGAAAUUGUUGGAAGGGAAACGCUUGAAGUCAGACUUGCUUGCCGAGCAAUCGGUUUGCAGGCCAGCAUCAGUUUUCCGGGAUGGAUAAUGGUAAAGAGAAGGUAGCAGUUUCGGCUGUGUUAUAGCUCUCUACUGGAUACAUCCUGGGGGACUGAGGAACGCAGUGUGCCUUUGGCGGGGGUUUCGACCUCUUCACACUUAGGAUGCUGGUGGAAUGGCUUUAAACGACCCGUCUUGAAACACGGACC